rnacentral:tRNA from 1 species
GUUGCAGUGGCCGAGUGGUUAAGGCGAUAGACUUGAAAUCUUUUGGGAUUUUCCCGCGCAGGUUCGAAUCCUUCCGACUACG